CUUUACACAUGCAAGUCGAACGGCAGCAUGAGAGAGCUUGCUCUCUUGAUGGCGAGUGGCGGACGGGUGAGUAAUGUAUCGGAACGUGCCCGGUAGUGGGGGAUAACUACGCGAAAGCGUAGCUAAUACCGCAUAUUCUCUACGGAGGAAAGAGGGGGAUCGUAAGACCUCUUGCUACCGGAGCGGCCGAUAUCAGAUUAGCUGGUUGGUGGGGUAACGGCCUACCAAGGCGGUGAUCUGUAGCUGGUUUGAGAGGACGACCAGCCACACUGGGACUGAGACACGGCCCAGACUCCUACGGGAGGCAGCAGUGGGGAAUUUUCGACAAUGGGGGGAACCCUGAUCGAGCCAUCUCGCGUGUGGGACGAAGGCCUUCGGGUUGUAAACCACUUUUCUCAACGAAGAAAAGUCUUAGGCUAAUACCUUAAGAUGCUGACGGUAGUUGAGGAAUAAGCACCGGCUAACUACGUGCCAGCAGCCGCGGUAAUACGUAGGGUGCGAGCGUUAAUCGGAAUUACUGGGCGUAAAGGGUGCGCAGGCGGCUU
rnacentral:rRNA from 1 species